ensembl:miRNA
GUCAGCUAUGUGGACUCUAGCUGCCAAAGGCGCUUCUCCUUCUGAACAGAGCGCUUUGCUCAGCCAGUGUAGACAUGGCCUGAU